GACGAACGCUGGCGGCGUGUUUAACACAUGCAAGUCGAACGGAAAGUCCCUGCCUUUGUGGGCUGCUCGAGUGGCGAACGGGUGAGUAACACGUGAGUAACCUGUCCUUGACUUUGGGAUAACCUCAGGAAACUGGGGCUAAUACCGCAUAGGAGCUCCUGCUGCAUGGUGGGCGCUGGAAAGUUUCGGCGGUUGGGGGUGUAAUCGCGGCUUAUCAGGUUGAUGGUGGGGUAGUGGCUAACCAAGGUCAUGACAGGUAGCCGGCCUGGGCGGGGGACCGGACACGCUAGGCUGGAGAUGAGACACAGCCCAGACUCGGACGGGAGGGAGGAGUGGGGAAUAUAAUGGGAGGGAGGAUAGCGUGACACCGCCACGCGGGGGGAGUGAGGAAGGGCGUAGGGUUGUGAAGUUCCCUGACACGGGAUGAUAAUGACAGUAACGGGUGAAGAAGCACCGGCUAACUACGUG
rnacentral:rRNA from 1 species